rnacentral:lncRNA from 1 species
CUUAGUCGUGUGUACAUCAUUGGGAAUGGAGGGAAAUAAAUGACUGGAUGGUCGCUGCUUUUUAAGUUUCAAAUUGACAUUCCAGACAAGCGGUGCCUGAGCCCGUGCCUGUCUUCAGAUCUUCACAGCACAGUUCCUGGGAAGGUGGAGCCACCAGCCUCUCCUUGACAAGCAAAGUGGAUCAGCAAAGGCUGCAGUCACCAGCAUCUUUUCCAACCUUAAUGAACUGUAUCCUCAAAAGAACACUAUCAGACUGGCUCUGCCGACUUCCAGUUCUGGAACAAGAUGGUUAAACUCAUUUUUCCCUGCUCUGCUCCUCUAAAUACAACUAAGUACCUUGGAAACUAUUCAGCAGACAAUGAUAAAGGGCUCUGAAAGCUAGAAGAAAAGGUGUACUUGCAAGAAACCUCAGGACUUGAGUAACAGCAACAUGGUAAGUUUUCUAAGUUUUCUUUUCGUCUCCCAUAUA